GACGAACGCUGGCGGCGUGCCUAACACAUGCAAGUCGAGCGGAAAUAAUUAAAGUCUACUUUGAUUAUUUUAGCGGCGGACGGGUGAGUAACACGUGGGCAACCUGCCCUUGAGAGGAGGAUAACACAGAGAAAUUUGUGCUAAUACCGCAUAACAUUUAGACUUCGCCUGGAGUCUAAAUCAACGGAGUAAUCCGCUGAAGGAUGGGCCCGCGGCGCAUUAGCUAGUUGGUGAGGUAAUGGCUCACCAAGGCGACGAUGCGUAGCCGACCUGAGAGGGUGAUCGGCCACAUUGGAACUGAGAUACGGUCCAGACUCCUACGGGAGGCAGCAGUGGGGAAUAUUGCGAAAUGGGGGAAACCCUGACGCAGCAACGCCGCGUGAGCGAUGAAGGCCUUCGGGUUGUAAAGCUCUGUCUUUGGGGACGAUAAUGACGGUACCCAAGGAGGAAGCCACGGCUAACUACGUGCCAGCAGCCGCCGUAACAC
rnacentral:rRNA from 1 species